UCAGAGCUGGGAAAGGAAAUUUAAGCCGUGGCUUUUUCUGGGCUUACGUAUGAUAUGGAUUCUUCCUUGAGAUGAUGGCAGAAAGGAGGAGAAGUGGUUCUUGAAAGUGUGGGCAGAGCACUGGGGCAUCUGCCAGGAUGAAGCCUGUGAGUUUCCUGCUAGGAUCUCCUGACUUCACAAACACAGCUGCAUUGCUCUGCUGUGAUCCAACACCAACAUCAGGACCUGACCUGCCUCUGAGCCUGGCCCAGGUAUGAGGAUGUGUACCUACUCCUAAGCUCUUGUAACCCAACCUAUGUCUAAAUCUCUAUUCACUUGUUCCCAACUAUGUUGACCACAAAUGCUCUGCUUAUCACCCAGGACUCCACUAGGAUGUUUCUGACACAGACUACCAUCUCCAUCUUUUGUCUAGACUUAACAUUCCCCUGACAAGACUUCCAUGUCUACAAGUGUUUGGAGCAGUAGUGUGGAGUAGGUGGGAAGGGCUAGCUGCACUUGGCUGUUUCUGGCUCUCAGGUCUUUGCAUUACAGCUAUUCUAAGGCAAUCCCACAGCCCUACGGAGCUGUGGUCUCCAACUGUGAGCUCCUAGACUCAGAAGAGCAUCACUGGAUGAUGUUCAUCCAAUUUAGCAGAGGUCAGAUGAGAUUCUUGGGUUUGUUCUCAUAGACUGUGGCUGUCUAGUCAAGCCCAGCCAUGUCAAAGGGCUGAACUUUUUCCCUUUCCCUAGAUGCUACAAGAUCCAUAUACUUUCUUGCCCCCCUCACCCCCCAUCAAACUACUACUUACCCAGAAUGCUCCAGGGCAUCUCAAACUCUGAGACUUAAAAAAAAUCUAUGCCUGAUCUCUUUCUCUCUCUGUGUCUCUCUGUCUCUUUAUUUCUCUCUUUUCCUGUCCCAAGACUAUGGCUGUCACCCUGCUGACAGACAAAUGCUGUUCUAGAAAGCCAUUCUAGAUAUUCUCAUCUGCCCUGUUGUGUCAAGCUGCACCCUCAGAAUACAAGUAUCAGAAUUAAAUCCUCCUGGCUGCUGCCAAAGGCUAGGGAAAACCAAAUGCUUCUCCUCUGAAAGAGGAGCUGGGCAGUGGUCCCUGUAUUUACGAGAAAUAACAGUUUGGGGUAUAGAUCCAAACUCUGAAAUUUUUAUCUUAAAGAUGACACUGGGACCAAUAUUCCCCAUUCUCAAAGCACUGCUUCUGAGAGCCUAUAUGGUGCCCUUUCUUCUAAGACUCACCCUU